GUAUCAGCAACUUGAGCAGUUCUUCUGCUCAAACAAGUCACUUGGCUCCCAACAGUACAAGCAACAGCACUGUUCCAAGAACAACAGGCAUUGACAUUUUGCUAACAACAUUGAAUUUAAGUUCAUCAAGCAGAUCAGUUUCUCAAAUAAGUUACUCGACGUCACAACCUACAAAUGAAAGCACUUCAUCAGGUGCACAAGUCCAAGAAACUUUGUUUACAACCCCAAAAUUCAGGACCUCCAGCAGUUCAGAUUCUCAAACAAGUAGUGAGGCUUCAAAAAUGUCAGAAAACAUCACUUCAUCAGGGACUUCAGACCACAAUGGUUUGCCUACAAGCCCGACUUUCAGUAGCUCUAGCAGUUCUGGUCCUCAAACAGGUCAUUCGGCUUCAGAAAGUACAAACAACAUCACUUCAUCAGGGAAUAUAGACCAGAGUGGUUUCUCUACAAGUCCAACUUUCAACAGUUCCAACAGUUCUUUGCCUCAAACAAGUUAUUUGACGUCGCCACCUACAAAUGAAAUCACUUCAACAGGUGCAACAGACCAAAAAAGUUUUACAACCCAAAAUAUCAGCACCUCCAGCAAUUAUCUGUCUCCAACAAGUA